rnacentral:rRNA from 1 species
UUUCCGUAGGUGAACCUGCGGAAGGAUCAUUAGAGAAAUCUAUAUGAAUGAAGUUAGAGGACGUUUGAAGACACUACUGAGAGGAGAUUGCAUUACGCAACCUGCGCUUAAUUGCGCGGUUGUGGUGUGAUUCCCAAUCGGUGGAAUUAUAUGUUUUCUUUCGUCAUCAACUCUGCUUCAACUUCUACAACACUGUGGAGUUUUCUACAACAAUCUUUCUUCUUUGGGGAGAACCGUUUUCGAAUGGCUUUCCUCAGAGGUGACAAACACAAACAAUUUUUUAUUAUCAUAAACUAGUCAAAAACCAAUUUCGUUUUAGAAAUUAAAAAUAUUUAAAACUUUCAACAACGGAUCUCUUGGUUCUCGCAUCGAUGAAGAACGCAGCGAAAUGCGAUACGUAAUGUGAAUUGCAGAAUUCCGUGAAUCAUCGAAUCUUUGAACGCACAUUGCGCCCCUUGGUAUUCCAGGGGGCAUGCCUGUUUGAGCGUCAUUUCCUUCUCAAACAAUCAUGUUUGGUAGUGAGUGAUACUCUUUCUAGGGUUAACUUGAAAUUGCUAGCCUGUUAUUUGGUUGUGAUUUUGCUGGCUUGGAUGACUUUGUCCAGCCUAGCUAAUACCGAAUUGUCGUAUUAGGUUUUACCAACUUCGGCAGACUGAGUAUUGGUUUGGGCGUUAUAAAGACUUGGUCGUAAACGAUUUAUCGUUUGUUUAGGCUUUUGCAUGCGCGAUCCGGCGAACAAUAAUCUCAAAGUUUGACCUCAAAUCAGGUAGGAAUACCCGCUGAACUUAA